GAGUUUGAUCUUGGCUCAGAGCGAACGCUGGCGGCAGGCCUAACACAUGCAAGUCGAACGGACCCUUCGGGGUUAGUGGCGGACGGGUGAGUAACACGUGGGAACGUGCCUUUAGGUUCGGAAUAGCUCCUGGAAACGGGUGGUAAUGCCGAAUGUGCCCUUUGGGGGAAAGAUUUAUCGCCUUUAGAGCGGCCCGCGUCUGAUUAGCUAGUUGGUGAGGUAACGGCUCACCAAGGCGACGAUCAGUAGCUGGUCUGAGAGGAUGACCAGCCACACUGGGACUGAGACACGGCCCAGACUCCUACGGGAGGCAGCAGUGGGGAAUCUUGCGCAAUGGGCGAAAGCCUGACGCAGCCAUGCCGCGUGAAUGAUGAAGGUCUUAGGAUUGUAAAAUUCUUUCACCGGGGACGAUAAUGACGGUACCCGGAGAAGAAGCCCCGGCUAACUUCGUGCCAGCCGCCGCCGUAAG
rnacentral:rRNA from 1 species